CACCUGCCUCUGCUUCCUGACUGCUGGAC
rnacentral:piRNA from 1 species